AGUUGGGGGUAUCCAGUAUUGCGAGUCUCUCGGAGAAGACACUAAUUUACUGACUGCUGCAAACAACCUCAGCGUUCAGUUGUUCAACAGAUAGUUUGAGAGAUGAGACUCCAGAGGCUUGCAGCUGUCCUGAUGCUGAUGGUCGCUGCUUUCCAAAUGGUGGCGGCAGAAGAUGAUGAUGAUAUUUCCAACGAGUAUCCGAUUCCUGGCAACUACAAGCUGGCACAGUCUGCCAGAGUUGGCGUCGACGUUAAAUUCGAUGCCGGGAAACCAGCAGACAUCAGCACCAAACUCAAGAUGAAUGUCUAAAGGCAAUGUUUGCGAAUCGAUUUCACGGACGAUCAUAGGAAAGGAAGACCACGCCAGCAUUUAAAUGAAUGUAGAGGCAACAUGAAAAGAGAAGGAUCCAUAAAGACUUAACCGUUCAAAAUUAAUUGCUAUUUAUGUGUUUUGCAUACAAACUAAUUUACACACAUGCAUGCAAGCACGUAAGCACGCAUGCAAAUAUACACAUAAACCCAUAUACACAUUUACGUGUAUGCACAUGUGUGUGUGUGUGUGUGUGUGUGUGUGUGUGUGUGUGUGUGUGUGUGUGUGU